GUUCCGGUUGUUGAGGAAGCCCCUGCAGAUUGGCAAGGGAAAGUCGGUAAUGUACUACAAGCCGUGAGUGAUGAUUUCGAAAGCCUAGAAAACUACGAUAUCUAUAUUGCAGGUCGUUUUGAAAUGGCGGGCGCAGCUCGUGAGCAAUUCACUCAGAAUAAAAAAGCGAAGAGUGAACGCAUGUUUGCAGACGCGUACGCAUUCAUUUAAAUUCCGCGUUUCAGGCAGAAAAAGAGGGUUUUUUACCCUCUUUUUUGCUUUUUUGAUGAAAUAGUCAUCGAACGGCUAGUUUUAUCCAUUUUUUUUCAAAAAAGGGUUGCGCUCGGAACUCAACUCCCUAUAAUGCGCAUCCACCGACACGGCAGACGCGAUAAGGCUUCAGCAGGGUCGGAGAGGUAAAAAGCUUCUGAGAAAAUAAAUUGAAAAAAGUGUUUGACUCUUUCAAUUAUCUCGCUAGAAUGCACCUCGCUUUGAGAGAAAAACUUCUCGCAGAGCAAGCUCUUUAACAAUAUAGACCUAUCAAUCUGUGUGGGCACUCGUUGAUGAUAAUCCAAUUAGAUACUUCGGUAUCAAAUUAGGUUUCAAUGAAACGAAGUGACCAUUGAAUCUUCGGAUUCAGCACAGUCAAUUCAAACAUUACUUUAUGUAAUGUUCAGUAUUCAUUGAGCCGAACAAAAUCUUAAAUUGAAGAGUUUGAUCAUGGCUCAGAUUGAACGCUGGCGGCAGGCCUAACACAUGCAAGUCGAGCGGAAACGAGUUAUCUGAACCUUCGGGGAACGAUAACGGCGUCGAGCGGCGGACGGGGGUGAGUAAUGCCUAGGAAAUUGCCCUGAUGGGGGGAUAACCAUUGGAAACGAUGGCUAAUACCGCAUGAUGCCUACGGGCCAAAGAGGGGGACCUUCGGGCCUCUCGCGUCAGGAUAUGCCUAGGUGGGAUUAGCUAGUUGGUGAGGUAAGGGCUCACCAAGGCGACGAUCCCUAGCUGGUCUGAGAGGAUGAUCAGCCACACUGGAACUGAGACACGGUCCAGACUCCUACGGGAGGCAGCAGUGGGGAAUAUUGCACAAUGGGCGCAAGCCUGAUGCAGCCAUGCCGCGUGUGUGAAGAAGGCCUUCGAAUGUAACGGGGCUAAGUAGUAAACCGAAGCUGCGGCAAUACUCUUUGAGUAUUGGGUAGGGGAGCGUUCUGUAAGCGGUUGAAGGUGUGUGGUAACGCAUGCUGGACGUAUCAGAAGUGCGAAUGCUGACAUGAGUAACGAUAAAGGGGGUGGAAAAACCUCCUCGCCGGAAGACCAAGGGUUCCUGUCCAACGUUAAUCGGGGCAGGGUAAGUCGACCCCUAAGGCGAGGCCGAAAGGCGUAGUCGAUGGGAAACGGGUUAAUAUUCCCGUACUUCUUACAAUUGCGAUGGGGGGACGGAGAAGGCUAGGUGGGCCUGGCGACGGUUGUCCAGGUUCAAGUGCGUAGGCUUAAGAGUUAGGUAAAUCCGGCUCUUUUUAAGGCUGAGACACGACGUCGAGCAACCUACGGUGUGAAGUCAUUGAUGCCAUGCUUCCAGGAAAAGCCUCUAAGCUUCAGAUUGUAAGGAAUCGUACCCCAAACCGACACAGGUGGUCGGGUAGAGAAUACCAAGGCGCUUGAGAGAACUCGGGUGAAGGAACUAGGCAAAAUGGUACCGUAACUUCGGGAGAAGGUACGCUCUUGAUGGUGAAGUCCCUUGCGGAUGGAGCUGACGAGAGUCGCAGAUACCAGGUGGCUGCAACUGUUUAUUAAAAACACAGCACUGUGCAAAAUCGUAAGAUGACGUAUACGGUGUGACGCCUGCCCGGUGCCGGAAGGUUAAUUGAUGGGGUUAGACUUCGGUCGAAGCUCUUGAUCGAAGCCCCGGUAAACGGCGGCCGUAACUAUAACGGUCCUAAGGUAGCGAAAUUCCUUGUCGGGUAAGUUUCCGACCUGCACGAAUGGCGUAAUGAUGGCCACGCUGUCUCCACCCGAGACUCAGUGAAAUUGAAAUCGCUGUGAAGAUGCAGUGUACCCGCGGCUAGACGGAAAGACCCCGUGAACCUUUACUACAGCUUGGCACUGGAACAUUGACCCUACAUGUGUAGGAUAGGUGGGAGGCUUUGAAGCACGUACGCCAGUAUGUGUGGAGCCGUCCUUGAAAUACCACCCUUGUAGUGUUGAUGUUCUAACGUCGACCCCUAAUCGGGGUUGCGGACAGUGCCUGGUGGGUAGUUUGACUGGGGCGGUCUCCUCCCAAAGAGUAACGGAGGAGCACGAAGGUGGGCUAAUCACGGUUGGACAUCGUGAGGUUAGUGCAAUGGCAUAAGCCCGCUUGACUGCGAGAAUGACAAUUCGAGCAGGUGCGAAAGCAGGUCAUAGUGAUCCGGUGGUUCUGAAUGGAAGGGCCAUCGCUCAACGGAUAAAAGGUACUCCGGGGAUAACAGGCUGAUACCGCCCAAGAGUUCAUAUCGACGGCGGUGUUUGGCACCUCGAUGUCGGCUCAUCACAUCCUGGGGCUGAAGUCGGUCCCAAGGGUAUGGCUGUUCGCCAUUUAAAGUGGUACGCGAGCUGGGUUUAGAACGUCGUGAGACAGUUCGGUCCCUAUCUGCCGUGGGCGUUGGAAGAUUGAAGGGGGCUGCUCCUAGUACGAGAGGACCGGAGUGGACGAACCUCUGGUGUUCGGGUUGUGUCGCCAGACGCAUUGCCCGGUAGCUAAGUUCGGAAUCGAUAACCGCUGAAAGCAUCUAAGCGGGAAGCGAGCCCUGAGAUGAGUCUUCCCUGAUACUUUAAGUAUCCUAAAGGGUUGUCGGAGACUACGACGUUGAUAGGUCAGGUGUGUAAGUGCUGUGAGGCAUUGAGCUAACUGAUACUAAUUGCCCGUGAGGCUUAACCAU
rnacentral:rRNA from 1 species